rnacentral:rRNA from 1 species
ACAAGAUGGAGGAAGGUGGGGAUGACGUCAAGUCAUCAUGGCCCUUAUGUCCAGGGCGACACACGUGCUACAAUGGCCGGCGACAACGGGAAGCGAGUUCGCGAGGACGAGCGGAUCCCUCAAAGACCGGUCGCAGUUCGGAUUGAAGUCUGCAACUCGACUUCAUGAAGCUGGAAUCGCUAGUAAUCGUGGAUCAGCCAAGCCGCGGUGAAUACGUUCCCGGGCCUU